rnacentral:lncRNA from 1 species
GAUACAGGAGAUUUUAUUUAACAUUGGUACAAAGAAAGGCCACAAAUGCCUUAGACUUUUUUUUUCCCCAAAUACAGUUUUUGGAUCCCUUUUUAAUACCACUUUUCUCAGAAAAAGAAAAAAAAAAAUCCAGAAUGACAGUUCCCCCCCCCCCUUUUCUUCUCUCUUUGGGCCUAAACUGAGAGAUGGUUAGCAGUACAGUUUCAAUACCUUUCAGUAUUAAACUAUUACUAGGUUUUCUUCUCCGAAACCAGAGCUUUGUGAGAUACUGAAGCACUAGCAACAGCAGUAUAAAAUGUCAAAACCUGACUCCCUAACAUGGUAGUGUUAAAACAAUGCCAACAAUAUUAACUCUGAUGAAACCCAAAGUUAUCCAAACAAUACGUCUUCUACACCUGAUAAUUUAGCACUAAUCAUAUAAUUUAAUUGUAUUUAUAUUUAAAUAAAUAGUCUUAACUCCUUUCCUUGGAAUUCUUCACAGAUUAUAAACACUUGUAAUACUAGAGAUAAGAAUAAACUACACAACUUACAUAGGCAAGAGAAGGCUUAGUUUUAUUUCUUUUGCUGGACAGACAUAGAAAGGACAUUUCACAGUGUCCUGCUGAGAUAAUUUUUAAAUUCACUUUCACUGCGGUGCUUCUCAGUCAUCCAACACAACAAUUCCUUACCCUCUUUCUGUUGCCUUGGUAAUCACUUGGUACUGAUAUCCCAACUCCUGAAACAUCUGUCCCUGGGUAGCUAAGUUUUAUCCAGGAUUCCGCAAGUUUUGUACGUAACUGUGAAGCCCAAAACAAGAUUUCUCUUAAGCUUUGAGAUGCAUGUUGUUUUACCUAUGGUAAUACACAGAUUCUAAUGCUCCUCUCUGUCUAUUGCCACAGGGGUGUGGGGAAAUGUAGAAAGCAAGUGAUAACCAUUGCCUUCUUAGCACUGAACUGUGGAUUUUCAAUUGCGAGCAAGAGAGACUGCAGCGCAGAACUGGGAGGCUACAGUAGCUAAACUUCUGGUGUUCCUAUAUUAAUGUUUAUUUACUGGCAAGACAGCCUUUGCUCCCAGUUAUCUGGGGCAUAAGCCUUCUUCUAGAACUUGGAAUGAGAACUUCUUUCUACUCCCAGACAAUGUGAUCUGAGUGAUUUCUAAUUAUGCUUCUCUUUUCCAUUUGUGUUACUUUCGCUCCCUAAAACCUUGUUAAGGAAUAAUCAUUAAGUGCUUCCUUUAGAGCUUCUGUUGCUUUUAAGGGCAAUACAUAUAUUUAAUUCUAUUCAAUGAGAAAAUCCAUAGAAUACAUAUGAAUGUUCUUUUCAUUCUACUUCAGAAUGGGGAGUUGCUAAUACUGAUCUACAGCUCCAGUAUCUCAGUUGCACACAGCCUGUGUUAAAGGAAGUGAAUGGUAUCACAGCUGUACUAUGAUAAUGUUAGCAAAGCUUACAGAGAAAAAUGUACCCAGACUACAAAUUUAUGAGGGCUUAAACAUGAAUUUGAUCAUAUCUACUUAGAAACUGCUCUUUCAGAUUUUUCUUCUUCAAGGAACUGAAGCAAAUCCCUUACAUCUAGCAUGAACAUAUUUAUUUGUGGUUUGUUACUACAAGUCCCCAUCUUCCUGAAUUGAAGUAAAAAGAGAAAGGGUAGUUCUUAAAACUUUUCUAAUUCCUAAGAAGAGUCCCACAUCUGAAAAUGUUAUCCCAGUAGAUGAUCAAGCACUGAAACCAAGGGAUUAACCAGUGAGGAACCAGAGAGGGUUGGGUUUUGCCAUCAGAUUUUAACCAUUUUUAAAAGCCAUGUUGGUCAAUUUACAUUUUUUACAUACUUGAAAGAAUGGCAUGUUAAGAUAAAUGAACAGAUUGUGAUGCCUUCCAGUGUUACAGGUGACAAAUUUGGAGAUCCACAUAUGCUUCAAAGAACAGUACAUUUGUUUAAAUAAACUCAUAGAAAACUAACAUAAACAACCAUAAGACAGACUUUUAAACAGGUAAAAUGAACAAACUGUAAAAAUACUGCAUCUCCCAUAAACAUACUCUGUGGUUCCACCACCUUGUGGCCAACAAAAAAGUUGCAGUUUUGCCUCAAAACGGUGCCGGCAGAUUGCCUCCUCUAAGCAAAUGAGGGUCAGAAUCGAGGCAGGCAGCAGCCAUCAGCAACUACAGUCACUACGCUGCCCUAGUUUGCCCUUAGCUGAUCCACUGAAAAACAGCAGCAUUAAGAUACAGCCUGAAAUAGCUUAGCUACUACCUCCACUUGUUAAAAUUGUGCAAGAAUAAAGAACACCAGCAGCAUUUUAAUGGAUGUGUUUCAAUUUGGUUUCAGACACUCCCC